rnacentral:rRNA from 1 species
GACGAACGCUGGCGGCGUGCUUAACACAUGCAAGUCGAACGGAAAGGCCCUGCUUUUGUGGGGUGCUCGAGUGGCGAACGGGUGCGUAACACGUGAGUAACCUGCCCUUGACUUUGGGAUGACUUCAGGAAGCUGGGCCUAAUACCGGAUAGGAGCUCAUGCUGCAUGGUGGGGGUUGGAAAGUUGAGGCGGGUGGGGAUGGACUCGCCGGUAAUCGGCUUGUUGGUUGGGGAGUGGCAUACCAAGGCUUUGACGGAUAGCCGGCCUGGGAGGGUGACCGGCCACAUGGGGCCUGAGAGACGGCCCAGUCGCCAACGGGGAGCGGCGGGGGGGAAUAUUGCCCAAUGGGAGGAAGCGUGAUGAAGAAACGCCGCGUGCGGGAUGACGGCCUGCGGGGUGUGAACAGCUUUAGCCUGAGACGAAGCGUUAGUGACGGUAAUGGGUGAAGAAGCACCGGCUAACUACGUG